CCGCCCCGCUGGGAGGCCCUGCCAGUCGACGGCUGCCAGCACGCACGCGCUGCCGGAGGGGGCCGCACGCCCCGGGGGAGCAUAUACUAUGCGAACAGUUUGUGCACUGUAUCGCUACAUCGUUUGUUGGUGAUCUCACUGCAGCCCUGGGAGGUAGAGCUGGAUCUCCAGUUACCAAGGGAAAAGAAGGGGCAGGAACCUGAGAAGAAGCCUGCCUGGAAGAAGAGGCGCCAGACGACCCGAGUCCCUUGUGAAUGCUGACAUCUACUGGUGG